rnacentral:SRP_RNA from 1 species
GCCAGGCGUGGUGGUAUGCGCCUGUCAUCCCAGCUACUUGGGAGGCUGAGGCUGGAAGAUCGCUUGAGUCCAGGAGUUCUGAGCUGUAGUGCGCUAUGCCAAUCAGGUGUCCGCACUAAUUUGGCAUCGAUUUGGUGACCUCCCUGGAGCGGGGGUCCACCAGGUUGCCGAAGGAGGGGUGAAAUGGCCCAGGUUGGAAACAGAGCAGGUCAAAAAUCCCAUGCUGAUCAGUAGUGGGAUCGCGCCUGUGAAUAGCCAUUGCACUCCAGCGUGGGCAACAUAGUGAGACCUUGUCUCU